UGCACCUAGCUGAAUCUCCCUCAUGUGGUUCUGUCAAAAUCAAUAGAAAGAAGAAACGAACAAAGGAAAGAGGCAAGAUAAAAAAUAAAAAAGAUUAUCAGUUCCAAUAAAAAAAUAUACAUAUUCACUAAGAACUAAAAACUGGUUCCCAGCAAAGUGGUAGAGCCUAAAAAGUUGAUGUCCAUGUAAUGAGGCGUAGUACAAUAAUUUAACAACAAGCGAGAUUAGUAAAUUGGUCUCUAAAAUAUAUGACCUACGCCUGCAGCCAAUGGGCUUUGAUUUAGAUCGCCCAAUCCUUUAACAGUGGUAAAAACACGAUAUUUGUGCUAGAAAUUUCGUCUAAUUACAGAAAUAUUUGCAUCACGUAAAUGCCAAGGACGAUAUGCAUACCAAGAAGCAGUGUAUAAUAAAUAUAUGCAACCUAUGUCAAUAUCCAUCACUGCAUGAUGAUGUUAUAUCCUUUUCUCGAGGUACCUAUGUCAAUAUCCUCAGCGAUAAGACAUUUUGGACGUAUACCCAUAGCUGAACCCAGUUAAGCUGAAAAGAUACCGCAAUCCAGUAAAACUGCAUUUCAAUGUUUGUAGGCUCCUACUUCGUACGAGUCGCCAUUGAUAAUGUAGAAUUGAUUUCCUCCGGUAAAUCCCAAAGGUCUACAACACGGACGCUGCAGUUGCCGAGACAUCAUGUAUCCGAUGUGAAUUCACAGAUUUACAUGUUUCACUCAAUGUAGAUUAACUUUAACUCAUUUUUAGCAGAACAUUAAAAUGCUGUGUGGCCUUUUUGCAUCCAAAAAUAAAUUCAGAAAACCUACGAAAAAUACAUCAAACAGGGCUGUCCCCUGUCGUCAUUUUUGGCUAUUUAUCCACUGAUUUUUACUUUGCAUGCCCAAUAGCUGACAGCUAGUCUCUUUUGUCCCCUUCUUUUCCGCUUCCUUUCUUAUCAUUUCCUGCUUCCAUUCCCGCUCCUGUAGCUCAGCUUAAAAGAUAGCUCAAUCGGGACGAAUUGACUGCUGGACAAACCAACCACCAUCCAAACAUGAAGCGCAGUCAGCAUGGACAUACAGAAGACAGGAAUUAGUGUCACCGUAGGACAAAGGCUGGCAACCAUACUCCGCAAUCGUACCCCCGUUUUCAAUGAGGAUUAAGAUUAGUAACAGGAUUAAGAAGAGAGAAUCCCUAGAAAAAUUCCGAAUCCAUCAAGACGACAGUCUAAUAUGAUUGGACAAAAAUGUGGGGCAUAGAGGUUGUAACAUCAAAUAAGUAACGGAAAAUAGACAACAGAAACAUUUAAUCAAGGAUGUCAAAACCAUGGGAAUAGAGAGAUAUGAAGUUUCGAGUCAAUAGAUAAACUGAGAGGAGAACAUCAGUAUAAAUGCAUGAUGAGGAAACGGUAGGUAUGGUCUCGGGCCCACAUUGUCCUGAAUUUGGGCUCACAGUCUACAUUCUCAGCAAAGGGUUGCUAUUGUCCAAACCCCAAAGUCCAGCCACACUCAAGGGCUCCAAUUUCAGACGACUCAUUUUUGUUACAAAAUCAAAGGAACUCUCUGACCCAACUCUAAGCCACCCAACGUCAAGCAAGCACAGAGUGUUUGUUACACAAUCAAGUGGACUCGGUUUUGUCAAGCAAUGUACUCAAUGGUAAGCAAGCCAAUAACUCGUUUUUUUUUCAAAAUUCUUGAGACAGAUUGUCUACUGCUGAAGCAUAAAAUCGGAAGGACUACUGCAGUCUGUCAACAAUAGGAAACAUACCCUAAAAUUCUACAUUUCUUUCCACGGAGUUGAAUGGCUGCCCGAUUCCACUUCAAGAAACUUCCAUUUUCUCCCCGUUCAUUAAAAUAGCCACAGGAUUUAGGCCCACUAUAUUGAUAUUGUCCUAGGCUUUCAGUUUAUUAUUUGCCCUAACGCAAGGACAAGCAAGCAGCGAAAGCCACAGCCGAGGCUAUGAAACCCAAGUUCAAGGAUAGACUGGCAGGACCAACAGAGAUUGCGGCCUCUCAAGAGAAAAUGCACGAGAGGUGUAGCAUCAAAAAACAAUUAAUGCGGCGCCAGCAGACCGCACAUGCAUAUCGGUCGAAUGCAGAAGAUUAGACUGAGAGGGAGGGGGUCCGGAAAAAAGCAAGAGAGGCAACUUUUAUACCCUGUUGAAAGAAUCCAACAACCUACAAGAUAGCAUCCUUUCUUUAAACGCGACAGAUGUCCUCAGAAUGUCUCUCCCGUUUCUCACGCAAUCCUGAGCUCGAUGCCUCCCCCAGACUCCCGGCUACCAAAGAAAUGACAGCACCAACUUCUUCCGGGCUAACUACUCGGAUUGAAUACUCUUUAAGGCCGGUGGGGCCUGUCGAAGGCCGCAAAAUGAUCAAACCAACCGAAAUAGCUCCCACCUUAUAUACACUGACGCAGCGUCGUCAGGACGUUUACAGCGCGAGAAAGGGAGCUUGGCGAAGAAGAAAUGGACGUACUCCCGUGCGAUGAGAUAGAGAGAGGAGAGAUGAAGAGGGUUAC
rnacentral:lncRNA from 1 species